rnacentral:rRNA from 1 species
AUCAUCAUGCCCCUUAUGGGCAGGGCUACACACGUGCUACAAUGGCGUAAACAAAGGGAGGCAAGCCUGCGAGGGUGAGCAAAUCCCAAAAAUAACGUCUCAGUUCGGAUUGUAGUCUGCAACUCGACUACAUGAAGCUGGAAUCGCUAGUAAUCGCGAAUCAGAAUGUCGCGGUGAAUACGUUCCCGGGUCUUGUACACACCGCCCGUCACACCAUGGGAGUUGGUAACGCCCGAAGUCAGUGACCCAACCGUAAGGAGGGAGCUGCCGAAGGUGGGACCGAUAACUGGGGUGAAGUCGUAACAAGGUAGCCGUAUCGGAAGGUGCGGCUGGAUCACCUCCUUUCUAAGGAA